UACAGAGGUCUCAAGCGUUUGUUCGGAUUCAUUGGGCGUAAAGGGCGCGUAGGCGGCGGGGUAAGUCGGGUGUGAAAUCUCAGAGCUCAACUCUGAAACUGCACUCGAUACUGCUCUGCUUGAGGACUGGAGAGGAGACUGGAAUUCACGGUGUAGCAGUGAAAUGCGUAGAUAUCGUGAGGAACACCCGUGGCGAAGGCGGCCCUCUGGCUCGACC
rnacentral:rRNA from 1 species